rnacentral:rRNA from 1 species
GUCGAGUGCACAGUCUGCUGUAGCAAUACAGCAGAUCGGCGCACGGCGCACGGGUGCGUAACACGUGGGUAACCUGCCCUCCAAAGGGGGAUAACCCGCCGAAAGGCGGGCUAAUACCGCAUGACAUUCCGGUGGCUUCGGCCGCUGGAAUCAAAGCCCGCAAGGGCGUUGGGGGAGGGGCCCGCGGCCGAUUAGCUUGUUGGCGAGGUAACGGCUCACCAAGGCUUUGAUCGGUAGCCGGUCUGAGAGGAUGGCCGGCCACACUGGAACUGAGACACGGUCCAGACUCCUACGGGAGGCAGCAGUGGGGAAUCUUGCGCAAUGGGCGAAAGCCUGACGCAGCGACGCCGCGUGGGGGAUGAAGCUUCUCGGAGUGUAAACCCCUUUCGACCCGGACGAAACGCCCGCAAGGGUUUGACGGUACGGGUAUAAGAAGCCCCGGCUAACUACGUGCCAGCAGCCGCGGUAAGACGUAGGGGGCCAGCGUUGCUCGGAAUUACUGGGCGUAAAGGGUUCGUAGGCGGUGUGGUAAGUCGGAAGUGAAAUCUCUGGGCUUAACUCAGAGGCUGCUUUCGAAACUGCCGCGCUAGAGUGCGGGAGAGGCGAGUGGAAUUACAGGUGUAGCGGUGAAAUGCGUAGAUAUCUGUAGGAACACCCGUGGCGAAGGCGGCUCGCUGGACCGCAACUGACGCUGA